rnacentral:rRNA from 1 species
UACGGAGGGGGCUAGCGUUGUUCGGAAUUACUGGGCGUAAAGCGCACGUAGGCGGACUGGAAAGUCAGGGGUGAAAUCCCGGGGCUCAACCCCGGAACUGCCUUUGAAACUCCCGGUCUUGAGGUCGAGAGAGGUGAGUGGAAUUCCGAGUGUAGAGGUGAAAUUCGUAGAUAUUCGGAGGAACACCAGUGGCGAAGGCGGCUCACUGGCUCGAUACUGAGGCUGCGGUGCGAAAGCGUGGGGAGCACACAGG